rnacentral:rRNA from 1 species
UACGGGGGGGGCAAGCGUUGUUCGGAAUUACUGGGCGUAAAGGGCUCGUAGGCGGCCAACUAAGUCGGAUGUGAAAUCCCCAGGCUUAACCUGGGAACUGCAUCCGAUACUGGAUGGCUUGAAUCCGGGAGAGGGAUGCAGAAUUCCAGGUGUAGCGGUGAAAUGCGCAGAUAUCAGGAAGAACACCCGUGGCUAAGGCGGCUCUCUAGUACGGUACUGACGCUGAGACGCGAAAGCGUGGGGAGCGAACAGG